rnacentral:rRNA from 1 species
GGAUUCUACCGUUGGUCGGGCUAACAAGUCUGUACUGGUGUGUAGAAUUUCUACCUUCUGGGGAACUAUCAUGUUAUUAAUUUAGCGUGGUGGGAAACCAGGACCUUUACCUUGAAAAAUUAGAGUGUUCAAAGCAGGCUUACGUCUGAAUACAUUAGCAUGGAAUAAUAGAAUAGGACGGUGGUCCUGUUUUGUUGGUUUCUGAAUCACCGUAAUGAUUAA